UCUCAAAAUAUUUGGAGGUGCUUAGAAUAUUUUUGAGGUUCCAUAAAGUUCAUUCGCGUAAUUUUCGGAGAAGUUUAACGAAGGGCGCGUUUGGAUAAACUUGGAUUUAUUUUCGGUGAGUCAUUGGAUAAGCUUUGAUCAAAAAGCACAUGGAAAGGAGGCCUUGAAGGCCGUGAGCUUGGAGGGCAUAAUGGGGAGGAAUUUUGUGACUUACUACAUGGUAUAUAAGCUUGUUUUAGUGAGAGAAUCAGAUUUUGCUUGGAAUGGAAAGGAAAAGUCAAUAGCUCUCAAGUUUCUCCCAUUUUCCAAAUCUGGCCGUUCGGAGAGAAAGAGAGAGCUCGUAGACGAGGACGAACGUAGUUCCUUUUUGUACCCCGACACUCGAGGCGGGCGUUACGAUGGUCAAGAGGAGGUCAAGAGGAGAGAGACUUGAUCGGAGAUUUGCCGAGAUCGACAGUUGGACGUCGGACCAAGGUUUAAGCUAGUAGGAUAAGGUUUCCGUUUUCGGUGUCUAAACCUUCGACGUGUUUGUACUCACGAAUGAUGGGGUAUGGGUAGGUAUCAGAUGCAUAUACCUUUAUGCGGUCACCCUGCGCGGGAUCGUAGGAGGUAUACCGAACUAAGAGGUCAGGGGGUUGAGUUUUGUUGUGGCAACCUGAGUUUUGGAAAAACGAGUUGUCUUUUGUAAACUUCCUUUGGGUUGUCCACUGGGUAUGAAACAUAUUUUCUUGAACUCGGGUAAGUAUAUGAGUAAAGCUUAUCAUGACAUAUCUUAUGUAUAAAAAAAAAUUAAUUACCUCUGUCUGUUCAGGUUCAAAAUCAGUUAAGCAGGUUUAUAUUACUGUUUAUUGCACUACGAGGACACCCUGAAAAUCGGGGUGUUACAUUGUGGUAUCAGAGCUCCGGUUGAGAAUACCAGAGCUUGUCGGGAAGUGAGUCUGUCGGGUGAAGUUGUGUGACUCUGAGUGGUGUGUGUCUGCACUUAGGAUAUUUCCCCUUAGAUUGCUAGAGAGCUGAUUGUAAGAUCUGACCAAUCUUAUAACCGCUUCGGGCAUGACAAGAUGCUGAAAUAUCUAAGGCUGUAGAUGUUUUAGGUUCUGCCCAUGAGAGGAGAAUCUUUAAAUGUGUUUUAAUUCUACUUAUCUGGAUUGUAGAUUGGUUGUAGAAUUGGUUGUCUGUUUACUCCUAGUGAGAGAUAUAGACAUGUGAAGAUGUUGAUGAGUUCUAGUGAAUCUGGAUUAUGUUAGAUUGCUACUAAGGGAUUAAAUUUCAAAGUGAGAUAAGUAUUAGACGAGCCUCGAGCGGAAUCUCAGAGGAGAUGUUGGUAGGACACCAGAAUGAUGGAUUUUGAGUUCCUAGAGAAGAAGAUUUCCCUAGGAAUAACUUUUAUGAGUUUGAAGGUCAAUGAUGACUGGAACUAGGAGGGGUUAAGAUGAGUUUUCCCCAUAGACCUUUAGUUGUACCGAGCUCGAGACCGAGGGUAAGCGAGAGACCGAUCAGUCGUAGUUACGGUGAUAGGAAUGAGAUCUUUGUGGCCAGAGAGACUGAGAGUGAGAAACCCUAUGAGAUUGGGUGAGUUGAUACACGGAUCGUAUCAUAGAUCACAAGUGAUAAGUUGUGAAGAGUGUUGAGGUUCGAGAGAUGCCUACAACUAAGUUUUAGUACGAGUUGUGACUAUCCAGUGAGGGAUGAGCCUAGUACUAUACGUAAGCGUGGUGAGACGUCUAGUGAAACUGAGUGGACACCUAAGCCGAGUAGAGUUUAGUCAAGAGGUGGUAGUGAAGUUGUCAACAGAGACAUACCAACCGGGGUACUGACAGGUUAAGUUUUACUAUGGACAUCUAGAGAAGAUUUGAAAGAUCAUAUCCUAAGGAUGAGUGAGACUUGUUGUGAGUUGACUGUUACCUAGUGAAGUCGAGGGUCUAACCCUAAGUUUGGCAACUGAGUUGCAUUUGUUGAUUCGAAUCCUUCUUGUGCUUGCUUGUGUACUAAGCUAAGUGUGGUUUAUUGGUUGUUGAUCGGAGGUUUCUUAUAUGAGAACCUACCGAAAGUUUGAACUGGUUAAGUGUAGAGUGUACUACUUUACCAUUCUUGUGAUAGGUUCUACUCUUGUUGCUAGACCCAUAAAUUCUUAAACUGCUUGUGUGCUUUUACAUUUUGAUGUUGAGGGAGACCUCUUUUUGUGUAGACUUGUGUGUUUACCCCUUUAGAGACCUAGAUUUGGUUCUAGGAAUGGAUUGGUUGUUUAGAUGCCAGAUCCCUUGCCUUGUGUACGAGGACAAUUGUCUCUACGGAGACCGGCGUUUCGGAAUACUUGGACAAGAAUCGGAGGAUCGCCGCACUGGAAGAUGGUUCCCGGGAAAUCCUUUUGCUCGCUAACGUAGGGGAAAGGAAAGAAAUCGACGUACGAGGUACACAUGUAGUAUGAGACCUUCUUGAUGUAUUCCUAGACGAUGUGCUUUGGCAGUUACGACACGAGAAUUGAGUGAUGAUCGAUCUAGUACCGAGGACGGGUCCUAUUUUGAUGGCACCAUAUAAGAUGGCGCCAAAAGCAAAACAACAAAUUAUGAGGGAACAGAAAACAAAACAAAAAAAUUGAAAGGAAGGACAAUAGAUAAUGCAGAAGCCAACCACCAAAGAAGAAAAAUGGAAAAAAAAUCAACACCGAAAGGUAGGGAUCAACACUGACGACAUCGUACCUAGCAAAGAAGAAGAAGAAGAAGAAGAAGAAGAAGAAGAAGAAGAAGAAGAAGGCUGCUUUAUUUUAAAUAAUAACUAUCAGGGUUUUUGUUUAUUUUUCAAAAAAUUGAAAUUUGACAACAAUCCUAUUGAUUGUGUCGACUAGAGUGAGGGGAUUAGGGUUUGGAAUUUUUUUUUCACCUUUUAUUAUAAAUAGAGGACUUGUGUGUUAGCAAAUUUUUUGUUUUUGAGUCUCUUUUGCACACAAGGUUUUCAAGUAAGUUCUUCUCUCCUCCUAGCCGAGUUUUCUUUUCCUUUUUCUACCUUGGAGGUCGAAUUUCCUACUUCUUCUCCCAUGGUUAUCGAGUUCUCAUCCCUAUUCUCUUGAGUUUUCAUCUUUUUCUUUCACAAAGAUCAUGAUGAUGGUCAUCUAAGAGUAUGCUCUGUGGUUGCGGCCUAGACCGAUCUUCCACAUCAGAAAAGAGAUGGUUGUUUGAGUGGAGAUUAGAAGCACAACAACAUUAUUAAGUUCUAAAAUUGAACCCCUAAAAGUAACAGCACAUUACCUGCUCCAUUUGUGUCCACUAGCUUCUCUUUAGGCAAUAGCAUCACUGGGAACUUUUUCACCUUCCCAUCCUCAGCAACACAAGCAAACAGGAUCAGCACCUUGCGUGAUAGCAGUUAUCCUUUUGUGUUCCUGAUGCCUUUGGUCAUUGGUAAAUCUUUAGAGUUAUCUCCUCCACAUUGUCAGUCUAGAUGACAGGGGAAAAGUCCAGAAGAAAUCAAAACAUGUAACUACUAUAAAUAGAGGGCUUGGGGUGAGAGGAAUUCACAAUUCAAGUGCUCACACUCUCUCCUUUCUAGCGUGAGUCUCUCCUCUCCCUCUCUCUCUUGUCGAGUUCUUCCUUGUCCUCUAUAGGCAAGAUGAUCUUGACUACUCCUUUGAGUGGUCAAGGGAUUCCCAUAGUAGCAAGCUCUGCUUCUACGGAAGUAUGAACUCGAAGAACCCCUUUCCUUGUUCAUGGAUCGGUGAAGUUUAAAGUUUUAUGGGGUUUUUGGGUCUAGGGUUUCGAGCUUCUUGGAGAAGAAGGAGGUUUCUUUUCUUCGAAGGUUCUAACCCUGUCGUUACUCUGUCCGUGCAGGAACUCGUACGGGCAAAGUCGAUCUAGCGAGAUCACACGAGGAUUUUAUCGGCCAAGGUGAGGGCACUUCUGGUCUAGAUAGAGGUCUAUUGUUUGUUGUGAUGUGAUACUGUCGUUAUGCUGUCCACAUAACGAUAGACUGUUGUGAUAGUGUUGUUAUGCUGCUGGCAUGUUGAAUAUUUUUGUGUUGUCGUUAUGCUGCCAAAAUUUCAUGAGAUAUUUGUGAUGUUGUUAUGCUAUCAUAUACUUGUUUAUAACAUGAGUUAUAUUGUUUAAAUACUAGAAAGCAUGUGGCUAGGGUAUUUUGCAUAUGAUAUUUGCGAACAAGUAAUUAUUUCGUCGAGGCUAUAGUACUAAGUGUAGGCUAUGGACCGUGAAAACGACGUUGCCGAUAGAGAUACGGUAUACUUGUUGCACGAGAGAAAAAUGAAGUGAUUAAGAGUGUGGUGGCAUAGAAAACGACGGUGCGUUGUUAAGCUCAACCCCAGGAGUUGGUUGAUGACCCGGGUUCGUUCCAUGUUUAUAGAGUCUUUUUGUCUUUGUUUUCAUGCAUUUUAGUGUCAUAUUCAUGUAGUGUUCAUGCAUAUUCAUGCAUUAGUCUUAGAUUAGUGUUAGAGUCAACCUUUCUUGCGUUUAAAGGGUUAUUCUUGAGUUUUCUUCCAGGUUUUCUUGAGUUUGAAUGAUUUCUGUGAUGCUUCACUUGAUCUUGUGUUUGAGUGUUGUGUGCAGGUGUUUUAGAGCUUUAGGAAUGCUUGGAUGAGGCUUGAGGAGCUUGGGAUGGAGCUAGAAGAAGAAAGGAGUAAAGACGGAGAAGUUUGGAAGCAAGGCAAGAAGUUGCAGAAGCCACCGUCAUGACGGUGUGCCACACCGCCCUUACGGUGGUGAGCCACCGCCCUUACGGUGGGGUGGCACCGUAAUGACGGUGGAGAGGCAUAAUUGAAGGAUUGUUACUCGAGCGAUACCGCCCUUACGGUGGGGAUCACCGCCCCUACGCUGGCAUCCACCACCCUUACGGUGGAAAAGCACCGUAAGGACGGUGGGAAGGAAAAAACGCGUGUGCAGAGUUUUUCCACCGCUCGAGCGGUGGUGAUGUACCGCUCGAGCGGUGUCGACCCAUUUUGAAGCCCAAGUUGCGUUUUUCAUCAGAUUUUCGGUGGAAACCUUAUAUAUACUUAAUUUUAUCAUUAGUGGAGGAUCUUUUGACUAUUACUUGAGUGGAGAAACCCUAGGAGAGCUCUGGGAAGUGCUUUUAAAGGAUUGAUACUCAGGCGCUUAUCGCCAUUAGAUGGACCAUUAGGAGAAACCACCGAACCCUCCACCCGUUGAGACAAAGGGACGUUACCCUGAGGAGGAGUUGCUGCAUAUGGUCUGUAUCAUAACAUGGAUGAUGGACGAGUGGGAGGAACGUUUGAAGGUUGAGUUACGUACGUACUACUAGUUCAAGCACGCAUCGAAGAACUUCUCAAGCGACGUAGAACUUAGCUUGGGUUGAGAGAUGUGUACUUUGGGUUAAGGUUUUGAGCAUACAAUUUAUCUUAGGAUUUACAGUUUUCAGUUAUUUUGAUUUGAACAAGAGUUUCAUUUUGAUGUAAUUUCUUUUGAUAAGAGUUUUGAAUAAUGAUUGAGUUUACAAGUUCAUUUAUGAAGUGAUUAUUUCGUUUA